rnacentral:rRNA from 1 species
UACGAAGGGGGCUAGCGUUGCUCGGAAUCACUGGGCGUAAAGCGCACGUAGGCGGAUCUUUAAGUCAGGGGUGAAAUCCCGAGGCUCAACCUCGGAACUGCCCUUGAUACUGAGGAUCUUGAGUUCGGGAGAGGUGAGUGGAACUGCGAGUGUAGAGGUGAAAUUCGUAGAUAUUCGCAAGAACACCAGUGGCGAAGGCGGCUCACUGGCCCGAUACUGACGCUGAGGCACGAAAGCGUGGGGAGCAAACAGG